rnacentral:rRNA from 1 species
AUUAAAUUCUUUUUUAUACACUUAUAUAGAUUGGCGGCAUUAAUUCUUCCUAGAGGAACUUGUUUACUAAUCGAUAAUCCGCGUUAUUUAUCACUUAUUUAUAUAACUUAUAUACCGCUAUCUAAGAAUUAAUUUAAACAUAUUAUUCAUAAUAAUUCUUAUAAUAUUUUAAGUAAAGGUGUAGUCUACAAAUAAGAAUAAAAUGAGUUACAUUAAAACUAAUUUAUGGAUAUAUAAUUAAAAUUAUAAUUUAAAAAGGAUUUAGAAGUAAUUCAUUAAUAUUACUUAUGUUUGAAAUAGUUUAUUAAUGUGCACACAUCGCCCGUCGCU